CUUUCUUUUCUUUUUUUCUUUUUUUUCCCUAUUACUGACAACAACUGGCUCUAAAUUCAAUUUUACACUCUGUUGUUGAACAUGCUACACACCUAAUACUGAAUGCUGAAAUGCAUAGACAUGCUCAAACAGGAUGCACUAAUGGAGAGAUGUCAGAGUGCUUGUGCCACCCCACUGUGGCCAUUUUUCAAACGAUUUUGAAAAUGUGAGAGACCAAACACAUGAUGACAAAUCAUGAGUGAUGAUACUUUUUUUUGUUGUUGGAAUGAUUAAGGAACGCUACCUCUGUACAUAGUCCCGUGCAACACUGAUGACAUUGUCUCAUUGGAUGAAAGCAUCUGUCAGUAAGACGCUCAUUCUGAACUUCUGGAAGUGAAAACGUCCUAAUGUGGAUCCUGGAGACAAAGCUGGACCUUUCCCCUCUACGUGAGACUUCAAGCCCUUGAUGAGCUGAUGUGCUGCUGCUGCUGUGGAAUUGUUUUUACGACUUUGAACACUUGGUCGGGUAAGCUGAAGGAGCAAACCUCAGGGACAACUGGGCCUUGCUACAAGGAGAUUCCCCAGGAAAAGGCAGUCCUCAAGCCUGGCUGUUGGCUGAAUGGUGGGGUAGGUUUUCAUUUCAUUUUUCAGUGAACCUGUACGCUUGUAACCUUGUGACUAUACCUAAUCAUACCUAAACAUUUGAUUUCCCCGACCUCAGUAAGCACUUAAUUCUUCAGAGACAUUCAGCACACACAUGCUGUAUCAUCACUAAAUCUGCUGUCAUUGUAACGUGUUUGGUGCACUCAUUUAUUUCAAUUGAAUUGCUUUGAUGGGGAAUGAAUCAAUGAUUGUCUGAUGUAUGAAAGGUAAAAAGUGCCCUCAAAUAGAGACGAGCUGAAUCGUGAAUUGAAGGCCUUAUUUCAUUGUUCUCUCCUGAGUGCCGGUUAAAUUAGUAUUUUGCCUUGAUAUGUGUGGGAAUUGGUUUGAGAUCACUCUUCACAAAGGUGCAGAGGGACCGAAAGAUUGGGAUUUUGUCUUUUCAAAUUGAUAGUUUGAUGGUCCAACUUCAUGACAUAGUUGGAUGUCCGAACACCUCCUUUUAAAAGCGUCAAAACCAUUUAUCGCUUGUUCCUAAGAACCACCGUCUAAAAUAACUCUGACAUAGACAGGGUCAGCAUCUUUAAAUACUGACACUCCUUAGAGUCCCCAUUGACCACAGCUGUACUGUAACUCGUGUUUAACUGCAAAAUCUAACCAUCCAAAAAUGCUAAACUAAGAAAUGGAAAUUAUUUUAGCAUUUUAGAACUCUCUUUGAGCGGAUGAGGCUCAACAAUAUAGAAUGGAAAAAGCGGGGCCACUUUUUUCUGGACCUCAGAACAGAAAGCUCUCUGGGUGUUUUUAAAAGCAAACUGAA